rnacentral:lncRNA from 1 species
GGACUUGGUGGGCCAAGUAUGAGGGUGGGCCCAGGCCAGGUCCAGAGCUGGAUUGGCAGGUGGAGAAGUUGCCCCAGGUCACCAGCCCUUGGGGGCAGAGCUGGCACUUGAGCCAUGCUCUUGCUCAAGGCUGGUGUUGUUUCUCUUGGCUGCUGGCCUCAUGGGGAUGGGAGUGAGGACAGCCUAGUUUAAUGGUCCAGGGUGAAGAGGCCAGCCUGGUGCCCCUUACAUUCUGUGUGCCUGUGUUGUGAAUGAGGAAGAGGCACAGCAUGCUAUAGUUGGUAUCUAUAUGUAGGACAAUUCCUGAAAGUAGAAUGGGCACAUCAAAGGGCUUCUGCAUUACAUGUUAAGGUGAUAGAAAAAGCUCCUGACCAUUGCAUGAUAAAGGAUAAAAUGGAGUGACUCCUAAAACAUCCAGUUUGCCAAAUUGCCUCCCACAGAGAGCACUGCCACCAGCAGUGUAUGAGUAUCUAUUUCCC